GGGUUUGUGGUCUAGUGGUAUGAUACUCCCUUAGCACUAUCAUCACACCUUGUGACGAGUCCUAUUAUGGGAGUGGUCCCGGGUUCAAUUCCCGGCGAAUCCA